CCUGUGAGGGUUGCUGGAGGUAUCAGAAGUGCGAAUGCUGACAUAAGUAACGAUAAAGCGGGUGAAAAGCCCGCUCGCCGGAAGACCAAGGGUUCCUGUCCAACGUUAAUCGGGGCAGGGUGAGUCGACCCCUAAGGCGAGGCCGAAAGGCGUAGUCGAUGGGAAACGGGUUAAUAUUCCCGUACUUGGUGUUACUGCGAAGGGGGGACGGAGAAGGCUAUGUUGGCCGGGCGACGGUUGUCCCGGUUUAAGCGUGUAGGUGUGUGUUCCAGGUAAAUCCGGUUCACUUUAACACUGAGGCGUGACGACGAGGCACUACGGUGCUGAAGCAACAAAUGCCCUGCUUCCAGGAAAAGCCUCUAAGCAUCAGGUAACAUCAAAUCGUACCCCAAACCGACACAGGUGGUCAGGUAGAGAAUACCAAGGCGCUUGAGAGAACUCGGGUGAAGGAACUAGGCAAAAUGGUGCCGUAACUUCGGGAGAAGGCACGCUGACACGUAGGUGAAGUGAUUUACUCAUGGAGCUGAAGUCAGUCGAAGAUACCAGCUGGCUGCAACUGUUUAUUAAAAACACAGCACUGUGCAAACACGAAAGUGGACGUAUACGGUGUGACGCCUGCCCGGUGCCGGAAGGUUAAUUGAUGGGGUCAGCGCAAGCGAAGCUCCUGAUCGAAGCCCCGGUAAACGGCGGCCGUAACUAUAACGGUCCUAAGGUAGCGAAAUUCCUUGUCGGGUAAGUUCCGACCUGCACGAAUGGCGUAAUGAUGGCCAGGCUGUCUCCACCCGAGACUCAGUGAAAUUGAACUCGCUGUGAAGAUGCAGUGUACCCGCGGCAAGACGGAAAGACCCCGUGAACCUUUACUAUAGCUUGACACUGAACAUUGAGCCUUGAUGUGUAGGAUAGGUGGGAGGCUUUGAAGUGUGGACGCCAGUCUGCAUGGAGCCGACCUUGAAAUACCACCCUUUAAUGUUUGAUGUUCUAACGUGGACCCGUAAUCCGGGUUGCGGACAGUGUCUGGUGGGUAGUUUGACUGGGGCGGUCUCCUCCUAAAGAGUAACGGAGGAGCACGAAGGUUGGCUAAUCCUGGUCGGACAUCAGGAGGUUAGUGCAAUGGCAUAAGCCAGCUUGACUGCGAGCGUGACGGCGCGAGCAGGUGCGAAAGCAGGUCAUAGUGAUCCGGUGGUUCUGAAUGGAAGGGCCAUCGCUCAACGGAUAAAAGGUACUCCGGGGAUAACAGGCUGAUACCGCCCAAGAGUUCAUAUCGACGGCGGUGUUUGGCACCUCGAUGUCGGCUCAUCACAUCCUGGGGCUGAAGUAGGUCCCAAGGGUAUGGCUGUUCGCCAUUUAAAGUGGUACGCGAGCUGGGUUUAGAACGUCGUGAGACAGUUCGGUCCCUAUCUGCCGUGGGCGCUGGAGAACUGAGGGGGGCUGCUCCUAGUACGAGAGGACCGGAGUGGACGCAUCACUGGUGUUCGGGUUGUCAUGCCAAUGGCACUGCCCGGUAGCUAAAUGCGGAAGAGAUAAGUGCUGAAAGCAUCUAAGCACGAAACUUGCCCCGAGAUGAGUUCUCCCUGAGACUUAGAGUCUCCUGAAGGAACGUUGAAGACGACGACGUUGAUA
rnacentral:rRNA from 1 species